GACGAACGCUGGCGGCGUGCCUAAUACAUGCAAGUCGAACGAACUCUGGUAAUGAUUGGUGCUUGCAUCAUGAAUUACAUUUGAGUGAGUGGCGAACUGGUGAGUAACACGUGGGAAACCUGCCCAGAAGCGGGGGAUAACACCUGGAAACAGAUGCUCAUACAGCAUAACAACUUGGACCGCAUGGUACGAGUUUGAAAGAUGGCGUCGGCUGUCACUGUUGGAGGGUCCCGAGGCGUAUUAGCUAGACGGUGAGGUAACGGCUCACCAUGGCAAUGAUACGUAGCCGACCUGAGAGGGUAAUCGGCCACAUUGGGACUGAGACACGGCCCAAACUCCUACGGGAGGCAGCAGUAGGGAAUCUUCCACAAUGGACGAAAGUCUGAUGGAGCAACGCCGCGUGAGUGAAGAAGGGUUUCGGCUCGUAAAACUCUGUUGUUAAAGAAGAACAUAUCUGAGAGUAACUGUUCAGGUAUUGACGGUAUUUAACCAGAAAGCCACGGCUAACUACGUGCCAGCCGCCGCAGUAA
rnacentral:rRNA from 1 species